rnacentral:rRNA from 1 species
GUCUAUGGUCAUGCUACCCUGAACAAGCCGGUUACUGUCUGAUCUCAGAAGCUAAGCAGGGUGGGCUUGGUUAGUACUUGAAUGGGAGACCACCUAGGAAGACCAGGUGCUGCAGGCU